rnacentral:rRNA from 1 species
AGAUUAAGUUAUUAAGGGCGCACGGUGGAUGCCUUGGCACUAGAAGCCGAUGAAGGACGUUACUAACGACGAUAUGCUUUGGGUAGCUGUAAGUAAGCGUUGAUCCAGAGAUUUCCGAAUGGGGGAACCCAGCAUGAGUUAUGUCAUGUUAUCGACAUGUGAAUUCAUAGCAUGUCAGAAGGCAGACCCGGAGAACUGAAACAUCUUAGUACCCGGAGGAAGAGAAAGAAAAAUCGAUUCCCUGAGUAGCGGCGAGCGAAACGGGAAGAGCCCAAACCAACAAGCUUGCUUGUUGGGGUUGUAGGACACUCUAUACGGAGUUACAAAAGAACAUGUUAGACGAAUCAUCUGGAAAGAUGAAUCAAAGAAGGUAAUAAUCCUGUAGUCGAAAACAUAUUCUCUCUUGAGUGGAUCCUGAGUACGACGGAGCACGUGAAAUUCCGUCGGAAUCUGGGAGGACCAUCUCCUAAGGCUAAAUACUCUCUAGUGACCGAUAGUGAACCAGUACCGUGAGGGAAAGGUGAAAAGUACCCCGGAAGGGGAGUGAAAGAGAACUUGAAACCGUGUGCUUACAAGUAGUCAGAGCCCGUUAAUGGGUGAUGGCGUGCCUUUUGUAGAAUGAACCGGCGAGUUACGAUCUGAUGCAAGGUUAAGCAGCAAAUGUGGAGCCGCAGCGAAAGCGAGUCUGAAUAGGGCGUUGAGUAUUUGGUCGUAGACCCGAAACCAGGUGAUCUACCCUUGGUCAGGUUGAAGUUCAGGUAACACUGAAUGGAGGACCGAACCGACUUACGUUGAAAAGUGAGCGGAUGAACUGAGGGUAGCGGAGAAAUUCCAAUCGAACUUGGAGAUAGCUGGUUCUCUCCGAAAUAGCUUUAGGGCUAGCCUCAAGUGAUGAUUAUUGGAGGUAGAGCACUGUUUGGACGAGGGGCCCCUCUCGGGUUACCGAAUUCAGACAAACUCCGAAUGCCAAUUAAUUUAACUUGGGAG